rnacentral:rRNA from 1 species
UACAGAGGCCUCGAGCGUUAGGCGGAAUCACUGGGCUUAAAGCGUGUGUAGGCGGACCCCUAAGUACCUUGUGAAAUCCCACGGCUCACCCGUGGAACGGCUGGGUAUACUGGGGGUCUUGAGCCACCUAGGGGCGAGUGGAACAAAUGGUGGAGCGGUGAAAUGCGUAGAGAUGUGGGGGAACACCAGUGGCGAAGGCGGCUCUUUGGUCUGUAACUGACGCUGAGGCGCGAAAGCGUGGGGAGCGAACAGG